rnacentral:rRNA from 1 species
GCAGUCGCCGCGGUAAUACGAAGGGGGCUAGUGUUGCUCGGAAUUACUGGGCGUAAAGGGCGCGUAGGCGGACAGUUAAGUCGGGGGUGAAAGCCCGGGGCUCAACCUCGGAAUUGCCUUCGAUACUGGCUGUCUUGAGUAUGAGAGAGGUGUGUGGAACUCCGAGUGUAGAGGUGAAAUUCGUAGAUAUUCGGAAGAACACCAGUGGCGAAGGCGACACACUGGCUCAUUACUGACGCUGAGGCGCGAAAGCGUGGGGAGCAAACAGGAUUAGAUACCCCGGUAGUCCCUGUCUCUUAUAA